GGGGCUGUGGCUCAGUGGUAGAGCAUCUGUGCUUGGAACGCAGGAGGUCCCAGGUUCAAUCCCCGGCACCUCCA